GUCUAUACUGUACCCAUUUUCUUCAAGUUAUAGUGCAUGAUCCAAGAUCUUGACAGUUUUGUCAACUUUAUACAUAAAAAUGUUGGUCUAUAGAAAAUGUGUCACAAAGUCAUUGCUUUCUAUAAAAUGCCAUCAGUGUUAACAUUGCAUAACAUGAUACAAUUUGAGACAGGGACUUUCUUCUUAGUCUGAAUGAUCAACUGGACAAUACAAAAUACUUAUUUAAGUCUUGUAUAAAAUGAAGUUAUGCUGAAAUACUAUGUAUGUGUCUUGAUUUAGUAUAUUCAGCAAAAACUUAGGAAACUCCUAAAGUGUCUGCAUCGUUCUACGUCAGCCAUAACAAAGUUGUACAAAGUAUGCCGCUAAACUAAGAUUUUGAUUGUUGAUAAAAUGUUGACAGUGGUACAUGUAGGUAGGGAUAGACUUUUUGUUGUCUAGAAGGGGGGCUUCUUGUUUGUUUGUGGUAGGAUGAGUUUUUCUUUAAAAAAUAUUUUGUAUGUUUUCAAGAGAUGCACACUAAGAAUGUGAAGUGAAUGAAAUUCUGAUUUUUGUGACCUUCCUUUCCUUAUGCUGUAGUUUAAGAACCUUCCACCUGCAACUACAUUAUACAUGUACGUACCCAUUCCUGACCAGUACUGAACCUCUCCUUCCACUACCCACAAGCAGUACUGUAAAGGCAAAAUGGUUAGCACUGGGUUUAUGUUCACAGUUUCCGUGUUGGUCUCUUCACCAUGAAGGAAAACCAUCACAAAUUUUCUGUCUCCUGCCUGCCUUUUCUCUUUGUUCAACUGUGAAUUUCAAGCCACAAACCCCUUUUUCUCCCUUACGAGGAGUGAACUACCCGCAAAGAUUUCAAAAACUACCCGCAAAGAUUUCCCCUUUUGCUGUACCUCUCCCCUAAUCAGCGAUCUUUCCGUCCCCCGAGGCGCUUCCUCCCCAACACUCCAGACACGGCUCUAAUGAACUUUAAUUAAAUGUUUACUUUCCUCAUACAAUGGAACAGGAACGCUGUCUUGUGUCACUUUACGAGCGUGGGUGUCAUUUGACAAUUGUUGAGUUUGACGUUUGAGGAAAAUUUAUUAGUCUCUUCUGCCAGGUGUGUUUUUUUUUAUGAGUUUGUCUGUUGAAGAAGAGUGUUAAAAAGAUUAAGAGUAGAAUAUUUGUGGUUUAAGUCACAGCAGGUGUUCCAUAGGUGUUUACAGAUAGGAGAAACUUGAACAAAAAGAACUAAUUUUUGUGUGAAAUACGUGACUGUACAAAAAGUUGAUAAAACAAUACAUGUAAACCAAAGUUUUGCCGCUUUUUGACAACCUGUCACAUUCUCCAAGCAGAGGUUACGGUGGAGGUCACGGUAUAGUAGCACGUUUUUUCUUUACCUGCAUCCCUCCAGGUAGCAGCUGAAAAAAAUCGCAGCUACUACCAUAACAUCUGCUUGGAGAAUAAACCUUUCAUAGCUGUCCAUAGAAAAGCUAUAUUUAUGUGCUUGUCAUUACAUGUACAAGUCAUAAAUGUAAACUUGUGUGCUGACUUGUCCAGUUAAGUUACGUAAAUGAAGCUUAGACAUGCUGCUAGUACAUUACAUAUUACGUGUAAUUCUACAAGGUUGCUUUUCAAAACAACUUUCAAAAUAGGUUGUUGUACAAAAUAAAUUAAGCUACUGGAUAAUUUCUCUAGAGUCCAAUCUUUCAGAUAGCGUCACUAUGAUCUUUCAUCUGUGACUUAUCUCAUCUUCAGGCGCUCAUGCAAGAUAUAAGUGGUUGCUAUCUGAAAUGUCUGAAUCCCUGGAGAAUUUAUCCAGUCUUGUUAGUGCUUGAUUUAUUUUGGCACAGUAUCUAAUUUACAAUCUGUAAACUGUAAAGCCACAACAAUUUAAUUCCUUGGUUCACGGAUUCGCUCGCUCCUAUUUUUUGGG